GCGCCGGCGCCAGCGGCCCUCCCGUCCCUCUGCCCGUCAUAGCGCUAAGGGGAGGGAUGUUCAUAGGUACGAUCAACAUAUAUCAUUCUGUGUUGGAUUGGUUUGUAUGCUGACAGUAGUACAUAUUUUGUUCGAGUGAACAGGGCCAAAGAGAUCCUGCAUCUCUACAUAGGGCAGCCACGGUUCUGAUCAACUUCCAGUCGGAGGAUGGAGAGUUCCCUCAGCAAGACAUUAUUGGAGUUGCCAACCGCAACCUUAUGCUCACUUACGCCCAAUACAGGAACAUCUUCCCUAUCUGGGCUCUUGGAGAGUACUACCGUAGAAUGGUCCUGACAACAUAAAGGGAGAAUCUGCGGUGUAUAUGUAGCCGUUGAGAGUUACACACUGUUAGAUGAUAAUUUGUGCACAUAAUUUUCCACAUCUCCAUGGAGCAUGGAGUGCCUAUUCCCAAAAAUACAUGAUACCAUUACCAACAUAUCUACAAACUUGUUAUAUUUAUUUCAGAUGAUUUAGUUAUUACAAUAUUCGUUGGGUUCC